CCCAACACGGCAUCCUGGACCACCGGGGGAACAGGAGAGCGAACCACGACCACCCAACACGCCAUCCCUGGACCACAGGGGACAGGGGACGUUCCAGGAGGGUCAAGAUGUGGGAGCAAGGGAGAAGUCACUAACCAGAUCCACGGGAGAAGAACGGUCGCUUCACCAACCCCUGGCCCACAUGGCACUACCCCUCCUCUGCCUCCCUGCUCCGGUUCUACCUACUAGAUAAGGACCACAGGCAACGUACCCCGCUCCAAAGAGGAGUUAGACUGUAAGCUUCCACUGCAGGAUCCUCCUACUUCAUCCAGAGCCCUGAGGUGUCAGGAACCUGGGGUCUGGUCUCAGGGUGACCUGGCUGGGCCACGCAUCAGUCCUGGUAGAGGAUGGACGGCCUGGUCAUCCUCACUGACCCCAUCUUCAGCCAGAGGGCAUCUCCUUCCAGUUCAUUGGGGCGCCAAGAGGUUCAGGGGCCCGCCGUGUACAGUAGAAUCAACUACCCAAGGUGAGGUGCCUCCAAACACUUGGGGGUGGUGUGUGUGUGUGUGUGUGUGUUGUGUGUGUGUGUUGUGUGUGUGUGUG